rnacentral:rRNA from 1 species
UACGAGGGGGGCAAGCGUUGUUCGGAAUUAUUGGGCGUAAAGGGCGCGUAGGCGGUGCGGUAAGUCACCUGUGAAACCUCUAGGCUUAACCUAGAGCCUGCAGGCGAAACUGCCGUGCUAGAGUGUGAGAGAGGCGAGUGGAAUUACGGGUGUAGCGGUGAAAUGCGUAGAUAUCCGUAGGAACAUCCGAGGCGAAGGCGGCUCGCUGGAUCACAACUGACGCUGAGGGACGAAAGCUAGGGGAGCAAACAGG